rnacentral:rRNA from 1 species
UACGUAGGGUGCGAGCGUUGUCCGGAAUUAUUGGGCGUAAAGGGCUCGUAGGCGGUCUGUCGCGUCGAAAGUGAAAACUCAGGGCUUAACCCUGAGCCUGCUUCCGAUACGGGCAGACUGGAGGUAUGCAGGGGAGAACGGAAUUCCUGGUGUAGCGGUGAAAUGCGCAGAUAUCUGGAGGAAUACCGGUGGCGAAGGCGGCAUCCUGGACCGAGAUUGACGCUGAGGAGCGAAAGCUAGGGGAGCAAACGGG